UUUUCAAAUGAGUCCGUACCUAUGACGGGUAGAGUUCAAUGCAGCUAGAAUCCCACUGAUGACCAGGGCCCUACAUUUUCAAUUUCAAUUGAAAUUUUCAGGCGAAGUUUGUAAACAAUGUUUUCAAUCGUCAAUGGUAACAAGGCGCCGUCGUCGUCGCUCAGCCCGACUGUCAUCGUCACCGAUGAACCGACGCUGCUGCGUCGUCGCAGAUGCCACUUUGUUUCGCACUCACAAGCUCACGCACGCUCGUUCGACGUCGAAUGAAUUUCUCUGUUAUAACUCAUUUAAUGAGUGUAACAACCGUCAAAUCUGUGUAAUGUUAAUGUAUGCUAUGCAUAUUUUACUGAAAUAGUUUAUUACCCAUAAAAAUAUUAAGCAAACAUACAUUUUAGACAAUUUGAAAAUUUCAGUUGAAUCCCAGUCGGUGUGAAAAUGAGCCGCCACUCGUCGUUGCGUCGAAGAAAGUGACAAGAAGGGCGGAUGAAGCGAAGCGCAUGCAUGUUGUAUUGAAUGUUUCCGUCGUCGGCGUCCGUCUGAUGCUGAUGGGCGCUCGCUUUCAGCGUCAUGUUUUGGUUUCGACGAUGUAGGCCCCUGCUGAUGACAGUUGGAAACGUGAAGCUAAUCACCAGGGGGUAUGCCCCUAGAUACGUAUGUCAUGGUAUUGAACUCCACGGAUCGACGAUGACGAGCUAUGUGCCAUGUGCCGAAGGGGAACAUCGAAAGCUGCCGUUCAAGUCAAGUGGAGCUCGGGCGAAGGGUGUGUUGAAGUUUAUCCAUUCAGUCCUGUGUGGACCGAUGGAAAAGUAGUUGCACGGCGAUGGAUUUAACCCUUAUGUGGCCAACAGGGUACCCGGAUACCAAGCGCCCCUUUAAAAUACACGGUGUAGAAAAAAGCAAAAAGUUUGUCGGACACAUAACGGUGAAGUUGACAUUCACAAGAAUGUAUGGCCCACGUGGAGAAACAAACUGGGUACAGAGUAGAAUAAAAUGCUUGGGUCCAAGUGAUGACAUACGUUGCCAAGGAGAAGAGGAAUAAACUGGAAGCUAAAUCCAUUUCAUGCAACCUGGUUAUCUACGCAGAGUAUAACAAGGGGUACAGAGCAUUCAAUCUGGUGACAAGGCAAAUUUUCACUAGCCAUGUCUGCAUAAUGCUCUAUCAGAAGCCUUCCAAGCCGGUCAUACUGUAACAAAAGUGGCACCAUAUUGCGAAAACAUCGGUGCGACCAUUGAGAGCAACGAAGCAAACGACUCGACUCGGUACAGAUUGAACCAACUACGGACCUGAUUACCACGGUUAGGGGUUGUGGGUUACAGUGGAUAACCUAAGCAUUUUGGUCGUUUCCAGUGGAAAUGCGGCAAAAUCCAUCUGUAUUUCCGAGUAACAUGGAUAUACAUACCAAAGUCCCAAAUUAAGUCGUAGCACUCGGGCUCAAACCGGGUACCACUUCUAGUACUACAUUUGGUCCCCGGUACCCAAAUUUGACAUUUGGCUACAUACCUCAUUUUUUAAUACUUUGUGACACAGUAGCCCACGACGAGGUAGUAGCUUAGGACAACAAACUAAUUUCAAAAUGUCAAUUCAAAAGAAAAAAAAUCAUCUCGCCGAAGACGUUCACGGACCUCAAUCAGCUGUUUUCCAAACUCUUAUGGGAAAAAAGAUUUUAAGGUGCUUUUCCUUGAACCGAACCUAAAACCGACGGCACGUACAAUGGCUUUUCCUCUAUCUAGCCUAGAAUGAGAUCGUGUGUCUAUAGGCUCUGAGGCUAGCUUGAAACAUUACCGGCUCAAGAACCCAGUUGAAAAUGCGUUCAGGAAUGGCCUUUCCCAUCUGUCCGGAUAACUAUUGUAACCUACAUUGAAACUACUCCUAACGGAUGUUAAAUAUUAUGGAUUAAAUUACAUUGAUUUGCCCUUU